rnacentral:rRNA from 1 species
AACGAACGCUGGCGGCAUGCCUAACACAUGCAAGUCGAACGAGACCUUCGGGUCUAGUGGCGCACGGGUGCGUAACGCGUGGGAACCUGCCCUUAGGUUCGGAAUAACUCCCCGAAUGGGGUGCUAAUACCGGCUAAUGUCUUCGGACCAAAGGUUUAUCGCCUGUGGAUGGGCCCGCGUUGGAUUAGCUAGUUGGUAGGGUAAAAGCCUAUCAAGGCGACGAUCCAUAGCUGGUCUGAGAGGAUGAGCAGCCACACUGGGACUGAGACACGGCCCAGACUCCUACGGGAGGCAGCAGUGGGGAAUAUUGGACAAUGGGCGAAAGCCUGAUCCAGCAAUGCCGCGUGAGUGAUGAAGGCCUUAGGGUUGUAAAGCUCUUUUACCCGGGAUGAUAAUGACAGUACCGGGAGAAUAAGCUCCGGCUAACUCCGUG